AUUGAACGCUGGCGGCAUGCCUUACACAUGCAAGUCGAACGGUAACAGGUUAAGCUGACGAGUGGCGAACGGGUGAGUAAUGUAUCGGAACGUGCCCAGUCGUGGGGGAUAACUACUCGAAAGAGUGGCUAAUACCGCAUACGACCUGAGGGUGAAAGCGGGGGACCGUAAGGCCUCGCGCGAUUGGAGCGGCCGAUAUCAGAUUAGCUAGUUGGUGGGGUAAAAGCCCACCAAGGCGACGAUCUGUAGCUGGUCUGAGAGGACGACCAGCCACACUGGGACUGAGACACGGCCCAAACUCCUACGGGAGGCAGCAGUGGGGAAUUUUGGACAAUGGGCGCAAGCCUGAUCCAGCCAUGCCGCGUGCAGGAUGAAGGCCUUCGGGUUGUAAACUGCUUUUGUACGGAACGAAAAGACUCUGGUUAAUACCUGGGGUCCAUGACGGUACCGUAAGAAUAAGCACCGGCUAACUACGUGCCAGCCGCCGCCGUAACAC
rnacentral:rRNA from 1 species